rnacentral:rRNA from 1 species
AGAGUUUGAUCCUGGCUCAGGAUGAACGCUGGCGGCGUGCCUAAUACAUGCAAGUCGAGCGAACGGACGAGAAGCUUGCUUCUCUGAUGUUAGCGGCGGACGGGUGAGUAACACGUGGAUAACCCUACCUAUAAGACUGGGAUAACUUCGGGAAACCGGAGCUAAUACCGGAUAAUAUUUUGAACCGCAUGGUUCAAAAGUGAAAGACGGUCUUGCUGUCACUUAUAGAUGGAUCCGCGCUGCAUUAGCUAGUUGGUAAGGUAACGGCUUACCAAGGCAACGAUGCAUAGCCGACCUGAGAGGGUGAUCGGCCACACUGGAACUGAGACACGGUCCAGACUCCUACGGGAGGCAGCAGUAGGGAAUCUUCCGCAAUGGGCGAAAGCCUGACGGAGCAACGCCGCGUGAGUGAUGAAGGUCUUCGGAUCGUAAAACUCUGUUAUUAGGGAAGAACAUAUGUGUAAGUAACUGUGCACAUCUUGACGGUACCUAAUCAGAAAGCCACGGCUAACUACGUGCCAGCAGCCGCGGUAAUACGUAGGUGGCAAGCGUUAUCCGGAAUUAUUGGGCGUAAAGCGCGCGUAGGCGGUUUUUUAAGUCUGAUGUGAAAGCCCACGGCUCAACCGUGGAGGGUCAUUGGAAACUGGAAAACUUGAGUGCAGAAGAGGAAAGUGGAAUUCCAUGUGUAGCGGUGAAAUGCGCAGAGAUAUGGAGGAACACCAGUGGCGAAGGCGACUUUCUGGUCUGUAACUGACGCUGAUGUGCGAAAGCGUGGGGAUCAAACAGGAUUAGAUACCCUGGUAGUCCACGCCGUAAACGAUGAGUGCUAAGUGUUAGGGGGUUUCCGCCCCUUAGUGCUGCAGCUAACGCAUUAAGCACUCCGCCUGGGGAGUACGACCGCAAGGUUGAAACUCAAAGGAAUUGACGGGGACCCGCACAAGCGGUGGAGCAUGUGGUUUAAUUCGAAGCAACGCGAAGAACCUUACCAAAUCUUGACAUCCUUUGACAACUCUAGAGAUAGAGCCUUCCCCUUCGGGGGACAAAGUGACAGGUGGUGCAUGGUUGUCGUCAGCUCGUGUCGUGAGAUGUUGGGUUAAGUCCCGCAACGAGCGCAACCCUUAAGCUUAGUUGCCAUCAUUAAGUUGGGCACUCUAAGUUGACUGCCGGUGACAAACCGGAGGAAGGUGGGGAUGACGUCAAAUCAUCAUGCCCCUUAUGAUUUGGGCUACACACGUGCUACAAUGGACAAUACAAAGGGCAGCGAAACCGCGAGGUCAAGCAAAUCCCAUAAAGUUGUUCUCAGUUCGGAUUGUAGUCUGCAACUCGACUACAUGAAGCUGGAAUCGCUAGUAAUCGUAGAUCAGCAUGCUACGGUGAAUACGUUCCCGGGUCUUGUACACACCGCCCGUCACACCACGAGAGUUUGUAACACCCGAAGCCGGUGGAGUAACCUUUUAGGAGCUAGCCGUCGAAGGUGGGACAAAUGAUUGGGGUGAAGUCGUAACAAGGUAGCCGUAUCGGAAGGUGCGGCUGGAUCACCU